AUCUCUUCUACUUCAUUUCCCUUGCA
rnacentral:snRNA from 1 species